rnacentral:tmRNA from 2 species
GGGGUCGACUGGUUUUGACAGCAAGUUGAACUGAUUGGUAAGCACGUCGUGUAAUGACAUUGAUACACGUAAAAGGCUAGGUCAAACUUUAAACGGCGAGAAUAACUACGCUUUAGCUGCUUAAUCUGAAUUAUAGUAAGAUUUAAGCCUCGUCCUACUAGGUAGGAAAGCUUUAUGUCUCUUGAAGGCCUUGGUUAACGGCAUUCUGUUCGGGACAUCGUAAAAGUUAACAUAGAAUAGGUAUUGCUUCGCUAUCUAUUUGAAACUAAAGAAGCUAAGUUAUAAGUAUGCGGUUCUUAGUGAGCUUAUGAUCGAAAAUUAAAUAAGAACUAAACGUGUAGAAAGCUUGUUAGUAGCUUGUUUGGACGAGAGUUCGAUUCUCUCCGGCUCCACCU